rnacentral:rRNA from 1 species
CCUACGGGGGACAGCAGUGAGGAAUAUUGGUCAAUGGGCGGAAGCCUGAACCAGCCAAGUAGCGUGCAGGAUGACGGCCCUACGGGUUGUAAACUGCUUUUAUACGGGAAUAACGCGCCUUACGUGUAGGGCUUUGCAUGUACCGUAUGAAUAAGGACCGGCUAAUGCCGUGCCAGCAGCCGCGGUAAUACGGCAGGUCCGGGCGUUGUCCGGAUGUAUUGGGUUUAAAGGGAGCGUAGGCCGCAUGUCAAGCGUGCUGUGAAAGGGCCGGGCUCAACCCGGGCCUUGCAUAGCGAACUGGCGGGCUUGCGUCCGCGGAAAGCAGGCGGAAUUCGGCGUGUAGCGGUGAAAUGCUUAGAUAUGACGAAGAACCCCGAUUGCGAAGGCAGCUUGCUGCAGCGGAACUGACGCUGAUGCUCGAAAGCGCGGGUAUCGAACAGGAUUAGAUACCCUAGUAGUC